UACAGAGGGUGCAAGCGUUGUUCGGAAUUAUUGGGCGUAAAGCGCGUGUAGGCGGCUUUGCAAGUCGGGUGUGAAAGCCCUCAGCUUAACUGAGGAAGUGCGCCCGAAACUGCAUUGCUUGAGUACCGGAGAGGAUGGCGGAAUUCCCCAAGUAGAGGUGAAAUUCGUAGAUAUGGGGAGGAACACCGGUGGCGAAGGCGGCCAUCUGGGACGGUACUGACGCUGAGACGCGAAAGCGUGGGGAGCGAACAGG
rnacentral:rRNA from 1 species